GCCGCAAGGUAUCAAGCGAUACCGCUUGACAUGAUUUGAUUAUAAAAACCGUGAAAUAAAUGCGCAACAAAUGCACUGCAUCGUAUUUGAAUGCACCGUGUGUUUCUAUCUGUGUUGCCAAACCAUCUGGACUCUGCUGAAGACGUCGGAAUGGAGGCCACCGAGUGUGCAGGCUAAACUCUAGGACUUCUGGUGGCGGUGGUAGCAUUUGAACCCUUUCAUUACGCCAAUUCCAAGUCGCAGGCACAAAGAAAGAGUGGAAGGCAAAAACUUGAUAAAAGUCUUGUCAUCUAGAAACAAAAUAGAAAAGUUCAAGAGCAGACGUUGAUACGGUCUUCUACUUGUGAUUCCUCAAGGGAUUUUCUUUGCUUUUAGGCGAAUUGAAAUCGCUGAUGACAAUGACGGCGUACAGCAUGCCUCAACCUUGUUUUUGGUCCAACCUAAAAGGUCAACGGAUUUACUGUUGACGUUUAUGGAUCGAUUCCAGGCAGUGAUUUAUACAAAGGUUUUGCAUUCAAAUCGAGGCUCGCAAAGAUUUGUCAUCAACACAAUCGCAUUCGGGUGGACCAUAGUGCAAAAUGCACGUCACCGCGGCCCAGAAAUUUCUGGCUAUUUGCGAUCAAUAUUGUUUCCGAUUCGGGACAACAAAAGUCUUCAUAGUUUACGUACUUUUUAUUUUUCUGCACUUUUCUCUUUGCUGUUUGCUCAGUCAUCCUAUUAUGAGUAACGUUUAAUUAAAACAUUCAUUGACUUUUUCAGAUUCUUGCAACCCUAUUAUGUUGUCAACCUUAUUAAUUUAACUAUAGUUAUAAUUGCAUUUAACUCAACCUUACAGCACUGCUCGCUGCCAAAGUUUCAGGGAAAAUGCAGAAGAAUAUUCAUUGAUUUAAAAGUAGGGCACGAUGAAAUGCCCGAGUGAAGACCUUCAUCUGUGCGGUUAAAAAUGCAUUAAAGUUUAAAAACCCAACCAAGAUAAUGUAUACAUAUGUUAAAUAAGGCCUUUCCUCGUAACCAAACAAGAUGGAUAUGUGAUGCCCAACCAUUAUCCACCUAGGAACUUGUAUUUGCCGGAUUAAUAAAACAGCAAUUUAAUAGACUUUGGUCACAUUCAGCGGUCAACAGCUAUGGACAUUAA
rnacentral:sRNA from 1 species